rnacentral:rRNA from 1 species
ACUCCUACGGGAGGCAGCAGUGAGGAAUAUUGGACAAUGGGUGAGAGCCUGAUCCAGCCAUCCCGCGUGAAGGAUGACGGCCCUAUGGGUUGUAAACUUCUUUUGUAUAGGGAUAAACCUACCCUCGUGAGGGUAGCUGAAGGUACUAUACGAAUAAGCACCGGCUAACUCCGUGCCAGCAGCCGCGGUAAUACGGAGGGUGCAAGCGUUAUCCGGAUUUAUUGGGUUUAAAGGGUCCGUAGGCGGACUCGUAAGUCAGUGGUGAAAUCUCAUAGCUUAACUAUGAAACUGCCAUUGAUACUGCGGGUCUUGAGUAAGGUAGAGGUAGCUGGAAUAAGUAGUGUAGCGGUGAAAUGCAUAGAUAUUACUUAGAACACCAAUUGCGAAGGCAGGUUACCAUGUCUUAACUGACGCUGAUGGACGAAAGCGUGGGGAGCGAACAGGAUUAGAUACCCUGGUAGUCCACGCCGUAAACGAUGCUAACUCGUUUUUGGGUUUUCGGAUUCAGAGACUAAGCGAAAGUGAUAAGUUAGCCACCUGGGGAGUACGAACGCAAGUUUGAAACUCAAAGGAAUUGACGGGGGCCCGCACAAGCGGUGGAUUAUGUGGUUUAAUUCGAUGAUACGCGAGGAACCUUACCAAGGCUUAAAUGGGAAAUGACAGGCUUAGAAAUAGGCUUUUCUUCGGACAUUUUUCAAGGUGCUGCAUGGUUGUCGUCAGCUCGUGCCGUGAGGUGUUAGGUUAAGUCCUGCAACGAGCGCAACCCCUGUCACUAGUUGCCAUCAUUCAGUUGGGGACUCUAGUGAGACUGCCUACGCAAGUAGAGAGGAAGGUGGGGAUGACGUCAAAUCAUCACGGCCCUUACGCCUUGGGCCACACACGUAAUACAAUGGCCAGUACAGAGGGCUGCUACCAGGCGACUGGAUGCUAAUCUCGAAAGCUGGUCUCAGUUCGGAUUGGAGUCUGCAACUCGACUCUAUGAAGCUGGAAUCGCUAGUAAUCGCGCAUCAGCC